GCGAGCGUUGUCCGGAAUUACUGGGCGUAAAGAGCUCGUAGGUGGUUUGUCGCGUUGUUCGUGAAAACUCACAGCUUAACUGUGGGCGUGCGGGCGAUACGGGCAGACUGGAGUACUGCAGGGGAGACUGGAAUUCCUGGUGUAGCGGUGGAAUGCGCAGAUAUCAGGAGGAACACCGGUGGCGAAGGCGGGUCUCUGGGCAGUAACUGACGCUGAGGAGCGAAAGCGUGGGGAGCGAACAGGAUUAGAUACCCUGGUAGUCCACGCCGUAAACGGUGGGUACUAGGUGUGGGUUUCCUUCCUUGGGAUCCGUGCCGUAGCUAACGCAUUAAGUACCCCGCCUGGGGAGUACGGCCGCAAGGCUAAAACUCAAAGAAAUUGACGG
rnacentral:rRNA from 1 species